rnacentral:rRNA from 1 species
CCUACGGGAGGCAGCAGUGAGGAAUAUUGGUCAAUGGGCGCGAGCCUGAACCAGCCAAGUAGCGUGAAGGAUGACGGCCCUACGGGUUGUAAACUUCUUUUAUAAAGGAAUAAAGUGAGGCACGUGUACCUUUUUGUAUGUACUUUAUGAAUAAGGAUCGGCUAACUCCGUGCCAGCAGCCGCGGUAAUACGGAGGAUCCGAGCGUUAUCCGGAUUUAUUGGGGUUAAAGGGAGCGUAGAUGGGUUGUUAAGUCAGUUGUGAAAGUUUGCGGCUCAACUGUAAAAUUGCAAUUGAUACUGGUAGCCUUGAGUACAGUUGAGGUAGGCGGAAUGUGUGGUGUAGCGGUGAAAUGCUUAGAUAUCACGAAGAACUCCGAUUGCGAAGGCAGCCUACUAAACUGCCACUGACAUUGAUGCUCGAAAGUGUGGGUAUCAAACAGGAUUAGAUACCCCUGUAGUC